AUUGAACGCUGGCGGCAGGCCUAACACAUGCAAGUCGAGCGGCUGAAGGGAGCUUGCUCCUGGAUUCAGCGGCGGACGGGCGAGUAAUGCCUAGGAAUCUGCCUGGUAGUGGGGGCUAACGUCCGGAAACGGGCGCUCAUACCGCAUUAGUCCUGAGGGCGUAAGUGGGGGAUCUUCGGACCUCACGCUAUCAGAUGAGCCUAGGUCGGAUUAGCUAGUUGGUGGGGUAAAGGCCUACCAAGGCGACGAUCCGUAACUGGUCUGAGAGGAUGAUCAGUCACACUGGAACUGAGACACGGUCCAGACUCCUACGGGAGGCAGCAGUGGGGAAUAUUGGACAAUGGGCGAAAGCCUGAUCCAGCCAUGCCGCGUGGGUGAAGAAGGUCUUCGGAUUGUAAAGCACUUUAGUUUGGGAAGAAGAGCAGUAAGUUAAUACCUUGCUGUUUUGACGGUACCAACAGAAUAAGCACCGGCUAACUUCGUG
rnacentral:rRNA from 1 species